UACGUAGGGGGCUAGCGUUGUCCGGAAUCAUUGGGCGUAAAGCGCGUGUAGGCGGUCCGGUAAGUCCGCUGUGAAAGUCGGGGGCUCAACCCUCGGAUGCCGGUGGAUACUGUCGGGCUUGAGUACGGGAGAGGCGAGUGGAAUUCCUGGUGUAGCGGUGAAAUGCGCAGAUAUCAGGAGGAACACCAAUUGCGAAGGCAGCUCGCUGGGACGUUACUGACGCUGAGACGCGAAAGCGUGGGGAGCAAACAGG
rnacentral:rRNA from 1 species